GAAAAGUUAGAGAGAGAGAAAUUGAAAAGAUUUCUGCCAUUGUUGGUUGCCAUAGAUAGCUUCCAAGUAUGAUCUUCGUGUUCCAAGAACUGUAGGUGUUUCCUAAGUUCCUCCGUUAAGAUAGGUGCUUCGCCAAUCUAUUUGCAAGUAUAAACAAGAGAGAUCACUCUCUAUUGUUAUUGUUGGACAAUAUAUGAUGAAAAAGAACCAAAACACUGGAUUUGUAAGGGAUGUGUUAAGGGAUCACAUGGAAAUAAUAUCGAAUUUCCAUUCCCAAAGCGGAGCUAAUCAAGACAUUCAAGAAGAUGAAGAUUAUUUGGUCCAUUGCGAUAAUUGUAAGGGCUGACAACACCAAAUAUGUGCUCUUUGCAAUAAAGAAAAAGAUUGAAAAGGAAAAGCACAGUAUAUUUGUCCAUGAUGUCAAUGGAGUUCGAAGAAUUACGCAGCUAAAGAUUUGUCGGAUAUGUUUUGACCAUGGCGAGACUAGCGCUAAUACAAAGAAAUACCAUUGUAAUCUCCUCUUAACAAUGUAUUGAUUCCUUACCUCAAUCUAUUUUGAUCAUGGCUAGACUAGCGCUAAUAUAAAAAAAAAUAU